rnacentral:rRNA from 1 species
GCAAGUCGAGCGAGUUGAUUCUCUUCGGAGAUGAAGCUAGCGGCGGACGGUUGAGUAACACGUGGGCAACCUGCCUCAUAGAGGGGAAUAGCCUCCCGAAAGGGAGAUUAAUACCGCAUAAGAUUGUAGCUUUGCAUGAAGUAGCAAUUAAAGGAGUAAUCCGCUAUGAGAUGGGCCCGCGGCGCAUUAGCUAGUUGGUGAGGUAACGGCUCACCAAGGCGACGAUGCGUAGCCGACCUGAGAGGGUGAUCGGCCACAUUGGGACUGAGACACGGCCCAGACUCCUACGGGAGGCAGCAGUGGGGAAUAUUGCACAAUGGGGGAAACCCUGAUGCAGCAACGCCGCGUGAGUGAUGACGGCCUUCGGGUUGUAAAGCUCUGUCUUCAGGGACGAUAAUGACGGUACCUGAGGAGGAAGCCACGGCUAACUACGUGCCAGCAGCCGCGGUAAUACGUAGGUGGCGAGCGUUGUCCGGAUUUACUGGGCGUAAAGGGAGCGUAGGCGGACUUUUAAGUGAGAUGUGAAAUACCCGGGCUCAACUUGGGUGCUGCAUUUCAAACUAGAAGUCUAGAGUGCAGGAGAGGAGAAUGGAAUUCCUAGUGUAGCGGUGAAAUGCGUAGAGAUUAGGAAGAACACCAGUGGCGAAGGCGAUUCUCUGGACUGUAACUGACGCUGAUGCUCGAAAGCGUGGGGAGCAAACAGGAUUAAAUACCCUGGUAGUCCACGCCGUA